rnacentral:ncRNA from 2 species
AUAGAAUUCUAGGGGGACUCCGCGGAGUUGAGAAGGUAAAACCUGACCCUACGAACCUGAUCUGGCUCAUACCAGCGUAGGGAAGCAAUUCUGUACCGUU